AAGAACCGAAGGAAAUUGAAAACCUCCUUUCUUUCUUUCCCCAAUUCGUAACCCUAGACCCUCAUUGCCGCCGCCGUCCCAAGCUCCUCAGUGCGGUCGCUUCUUCCUCUUUCCUAUUUUGCAAAACCCAGAAAACUCAGCACAUCGUCUUCAUCUUUGUUGGCUUCUCUGUUCGUCGAAGGUUAGUGGCUUCUGCUCUUGGGGUACUGCGCUCGUUAAGAUCUCUCUUUACACCUUCUCCGCCUCGACAUCGGCAUCUCUAUCGGUGUCUCAGUUUUCGGUGCUGCUUGGGGGAUUUACGUGCUGCAAUCAAGGCCCCUGAAUCACUUUCACAAAUCUCAUUAGAUCUAUUUCAUAGUCUUUACCUCCACAAAGUGACGAUGUUUUUGGAUUCUGAAGUCUAAUCUGUCUCUUUGAGCUCGUCAGUUUUGCAACAUUGACUCGGAUAAUUUUUUCGUACUGGUAAAGACAACAGGAAUUGAGUAGUUACUGCGGCACUAUUUAUAACAACUUCAUAUGGCAUCUCAAAAUGAAAGAACUAAGCACAGGAGGACAUGAUGUGAAGAAAAUAUGUUUUAUACAAAUAUAAGAUGGGAUAGGUCUUAUAAUGAUUUUGGUUAUCUAAAUGUAUUAUUUUGAUGUGUUAUUUACAUUUUGAUAAGAGACUUUAUCCGAUAUUACAUGUAAUGGAUAAAUUACACCCUAUUUUGAUUAGUGUUGUAAUGGAUAUCUAGUUUUUAAUAAAACUUUUAUGAUUUACAUUUA